CUUGAUCGAGCCGAGCCACAACGGCCGGUCCUCCGGCCGCUCCUGACCGUAGGUGGCCAGCAGCGCCUGCGCCUC
rnacentral:antisense_RNA from 1 species